UCCCUGGUGGUCUAGUGGUCAGAAUUUGGCGUUCUCACUGCCACUGCCUGGGUUCGAUUCCCAGUCAGGGAA